GCAGUCGAGCGGACAGAUGGGAGCUUGCUCCCUGAUGUUAGCGGCGGACGGGUGAGUAACACGUGGGUAACCUGCCUGUAAGACUGGGAUAACUCCGGGAAACCGGGGCUAAUACCGGAUGGUUGUUUGAACCGCAUGGUUCAGACAUAAAAGGUGGCUUCGGCUACCACUUACAGAUGGACCCGCGGCGCAUUAGCUAGUUGGUGAGGUAACGGCUCACCAAGGCGACGAUGCGUAGCCGACCUGAGAGGGUGAUCGGCCACACUGGGACUGAGACACGGCCCAGACUCCUACGGGAGGCAGCAGUAGGGAAUCUUCCGCAAUGGACGAAAGUCUGACGGAGCAACGCCGCGUGAGUGAUGAAGGUUUUCGGAUCGUAAAGCUCUGUUGUUAGGGAAGAACAAGUGCCGUUCAAAUAGGGCGGCACCUUGACGGUACCUAACCAGAAAGCCACGGCUAACUACGUGCCAGCAGCCGCGGUAAUACGUAGGUGGCAAGCGUUGUCCGGAAUUAUUGGGCGUAAAGGGCUCGCAGGCGGUUUCUUAAGUCUGAUGUGAAAGCCCCCGGCUCAACCGGGGAGGGUCAUUGGAAACUGGGGAACUUGAGUGCAGAAGAGGAGAGUGGAAUUCCACGUGUAGCGGUGAAAUGCGUAGAGAUGUGGAGGAACACCAGUGGCGAAGGCGACUCUCUGGUCUGUAACUGACGCUGAGGAGCGAAAGCGUGGGGAGCGAACAGGAUUAGAUACCCUGGUAGUCCACGCCGUAAACGAUGAGUGCUAAGUGUUAGGGGGUUUCCGCCCCUUAGUGCUGCAGCUAACGCAUUAAGCACUCCGCCUGGGGGAGUACCGGUCGCAAAGACUGAAACCUCAAAGGAAAUUGACGGGGGGCCC
rnacentral:rRNA from 1 species